GGGUACGUUGCUCCUACUAUUGAAAGUAUUUAGUUUUAAUUUGUUGCGUCUUUGUAAUGUAGAGCAAACUGGAGAGUCUGACAGAGGCUGAACAAAAAUAAUUAUUAAUGUCACCAAACGGUGUGUUGCUGCCCCUGAGGCACAUUUUUAUGGAUUUCUAUUGGAUUUUUAUCACUGAUUAAAUAGCAAGAGCACUUUCUAAACUUAUACUUUACAUGUCAGAAUGCAUUGAUAAGGUCCUGUCUCCUCUGUACAGCACCUUUGUGGAGUCUCUCCUCGUUAUUGUUCUCCGGGCAUCGGGUCCUCCCGUUGCACCGGCACAGCCAACGGCACUCCAUUCACCAGAGCAACAUUGUACAAAACUGUACUGGCCCAAAUGAUGUCCCACACCCUUCCAGGAGUGUACAACAACGUCCCCGCUGCUGGGCC